GCAUAUUCAAAUUGAAAAUUUGUCAUGGCAAUGCUCUCGAGUGCAAGGAAACGUACCCGUCAACAGUUUUAAAACGCCAUAUGGCGUGUGCAAACAAAAACAUUGCCAUUGAUUGGUCAGUUUUUAUGCCAUCAAAAUCGUCACGUUUGUAGGAGCUCAAAAACUAUUGAUGCCACAUCUUUAAUUCAUUCUCUUUAGAAUAACAAUGGUGAGAUGGUAUGAAAAAUACUUGCAUUUGAGAAGAUAAGUAGUACGUCGAAAGCAAACAUGCCGCUUCCGAUCACAGAUUCAUCAGUCCGAGUGACCCGUAUGUUCAUAUGUCUUGUUGGUUGGAUAUCUCUUGUCCUUGGUAAUAAAGAAAAACUUGUCAUUGCUGGCAUCGAUACAGAACGACAUGAAUUGUUACGUAAUAACACCUAUCACGCUGUUAAAAGUGCUUUGAAAAGUAUUAACGAUGGCCAGGAGCUGAGGAAUUACUAUUUAGAAAUAGUUUGGAAGAACUCCAUAGAAUAUAACAAGGACGAAAACGAUCAUGGUAUCAAUGCAAUAAUGGAGCACAUCAAGGAGUCUCCACCAAAAAUAGCGUUCCUCUCACUUGGUUGUGAAGCAUCCUAUCUUGCGUCGGUAGCACUUCCACCGUGGAACGUUACUGUGAUUCCUCUUAAUUUGGAGUGUCUGCAAUCUGUGAAUAUCGUCAAUUAUCCCAACAUUGUCGACAUCGAUUCUUUAGAAACUUUUGGUAUAGAUGUGAAAGAAAUGCUUCGAACAACUUUCGAUUGGGAACGUCUUUUCAUCGUCAAGCAGAUACAGAACUUCGAUUUGAGUGCAGAUAAAUUCAAUAUAGACUUAACAGUUGAGCAUUUGCGGAAGAAAAAAGAUGGACGUAGAGAUUACGACAUAGGACAAGCUAUUGAGAAGUUGAACGAAUGGGAUGCUAGAAUUAUUAUUCUGAAAAUGGCGGAAUCAGCGGCAAGAAAAUUUCUUUGUGAGGCUUCGAAGAAGUUUCAUGACGUCGACAACAUUGUGUGGGUAAUACUCGGUUUGUACAACGCGAAGUGGUGGGAUGUGAGCGAUACUAAAUGUACAGUCAACAAAGUGAAAUUGGUCCUUAAGAACGUAUUUUAUGUAAAUUACGCUUAUAACCGCACUAUAGACGAGAAUGGCAGCGAAGUAAGGAGAAAGUUUGAUGGUACGUCAUCAUCGAAUAGCAGCAUGGAUAAAAAUGAAUUUCAUAGCAAAUGCGCUGUGGACGCUGGUCAUGCCAUUGAACUUCUUGCAAAAGCUUUGAAGGCUACGGAAAAACACUUGCAGCUUUUAAAUCAAUCGCUGAAAAAUUACACAUACGCUCGCUCUGAUAUCUUUAAGUUGAUUUUGACAAAGUUGAGAAAUUUGGUAGUUACGAAAAAUAGAGAACUGAAUGAAAAAGAUGGUCUUGUCUCUGGCGUGUUGAUCAAACAGCUAUUGCUUCACGAAAAUUAUGGAGAGGUCGUAAACAUUGCUUGGUGUGAAAAUAAAAAAAAAUGUGAAGAUUUCAAUAAUGUGACGUGGGCAGGCGGAAAUCGGCCUUCAGAUGGGAAAACUACAAAAGUCAGUCUUUGUGUAAAAAAUGAAGUAUUUUGGUCAGCAACAGGGGCAUCAAUCGUCGGCAUUUUAAUGGCUCUUUUCUUCUUCUGGAUAAACAACAGGAAAUCUUCCCAAGAUGUACUCAAGAUGUCUACGCCACCAUUGAAUAACCUCAUGUUGCUUGGAGCAGUUCUUGCGUACUUGUUCAUUCCGAUAAACGGCAUGAAGAAGUGUUCAAAAGAGACAAUGUCUUUUAACACUUCUCUUUGCAAGGCGGAAGUUUUCCUGAUGACGAUCGCUUUCUCUUUGUUGUUCGGUGCAAUUUUUAUGAAAACAUGGAGAAUCUACAGAAUAUUUACAAACGAUAAACUCUCAAAAAAUCUGCGAUUUUUGACCAACAAAUAUUUGAUGCUAAUGGUGGCUUUAUUGGUUGUCUUUGAUUUAUUGUAUUUAUCGUCGUGGAAUUUCAUACAUCCUUUAGAAGAUAAAGUAGCUGAGUCUAUGGGCCGUCGCAAGAAGAGCGAUGAAUUUGAAAUACAGUAUCCACGAGUGCACGUCUUCCCACUUUGAAAAAUGGUUUGCAGGUCUAAUGAUUUACAAAGGUCUGCUCAUCGUCUUUGGAAUCUUCAUCACUUGGGAGACUCGAAACGUUUCGUUUCCUGGUUUGAAUGAUUCCAAGUACAUUGGCAUGUGUGUUUACAACAUUUUCAUAACGAUUGCCGUCAUUUUGCCGCUUAAGUUGUUGGCCUUCAAGACGAACGUGAAUGUCAGUUACAUUGUUGUUACAUCAAGUAUCAUGUUGUGCACGACUCUAACUCUGGUUCUUAUGUUCUUCCCGAAGCUAUAUCCGGCGAAGAUGCAAAGUGUGACUUCGAAAGCUACAAUAAUAAGCUUUGACAACGGCAUUGCUGUCACGCGUAAAGCUGCUCGUGAAGAAAAUCCGGUCAUUCACGUGACACGUCAUUGAAAUUUUUAGCUGAGCACGCGCACAUGCUUGAUGAAAUUUUCGUCUUCGAACAUAGUUGUUUGCAUGCAUUUUAAUAUCAAGCCACUUUUUCCAUAAGUACAAAUAAGUAAAAGUAGCUAGUUUGCAAUACAUAAAUGCACCAUAUCAUUUUUAUGUUCAUGAAGUAUAAUUAACUUGUUACAAGAAAGAACAAGAUGGCUCAAGAAUUGCUUCAUUAGAGUAUUGUUGCACGGAAUUGACAACUGACCUCUCCUAACUGUUAGGAGAGCCUAGUUUCGCACACCCACACUAAAAGUAAUGGAAAGAAGCUUAUGAAUUACACGUAGACGCAAAACGAUGAUAAAA